GCCCGCCUAGCUCAAUCGGAUAGAGCGUCAGACUCUUAUUCUAUUCCUAGGCGGAAUCUGAAGGCUGCGAGUUCGACCCUCGCGGUGGGCU
rnacentral:tRNA from 1 species